UACGGAGGAUGCAAGCGUUAUCCGGAAUUAUUGGGCGUAAAGCGUCCGCAGGUGGCUGUGUAAGUCUGCUGUUAAAUAGUGAGGCUCAACCCUGGAAAGGCCGUGGAAACUGGUGAGCUAGAGUGCGGUAGGGGCAGAGGGAAUUCCCAGUGUAGCGGUGAAAUGCGUAGAGAUUGGGAAGAACACCGGUGGCGAAAGCGCGUGACUGGGCCUGAACUGACACUCAUGGACGAAAGCUAGGGGAGCGAAAGGG
rnacentral:rRNA from 1 species